rnacentral:rRNA from 1 species
GAUGAACGCUAGCGGCAGGCUUAACACAUGCAAGUCGAACGGUAACAUAGUGCUUGCACUGAUGACGAGUGGCGAACGGGUGCGUAACGCGUAUGCAACCUACCUAUCACAUAGGGAUAGCCUCUAGAAAUGGAGAUUAAUACCUAAUGGCAUCUAAGUAUUGCAUGAUACUAAGAUUAAAGAUUUAUCGGUGAUAGAUGGGCAUGCGUGACAUUAGCUAGUUGGUAAGGUAACGGCUUACCAAGGCAACGAUGUCUAGGGGAUCUGAGAGGACUACCCCCCACACUGGUACUGAGACACGGACCAG